GCAAAAUUAUAUGUUUUAGUAAAUCAGAAUUGGUAUCAGCGUUUCUACCAUAAAUUCUAUUUUGAACCUUCUUUGUAAACCAAAUUCUUUUCUUCCUUCCAGGUUUCUUUUCUUAGCUGUGUCUUAAUUGUGUCAUCCCUAAGCAUUAAAGGAAGAGUGCUGACAGUCUGUACUUGUACCCUCAGUGGAAGUAGAGGCACAAAAUGCUUUCUAUUGAUGAAGAAAACCUAAAAGUUAGAACUCCCUUCUGUGACUGAGCAAAUGGGAAGGAAAUUUCCUCAUGAAGUCAAAAGUUGCUAACACUGUGAGGUAAUGCUUUGUUGUCAUUUUGUGCAGCACUUUAUUAGCAAUGGUUCUGUUUUUCACAGUCCUGUUGGCCAUUUGUCUUUCUUGAGAAAAAGUGUGGUGUUCUAGAAAUAAUUUAAUUAUAAGGGUGGAUUAUUUUAUGUUUCCUUUUGUUUUUGAGUUGAAGAUGUUUCCUGGAGGACACUGUGGUCCUAGAGGACGCUGUGGUUAUGGACAUGUUACUGGGGAUGCCUUGCAGUGUCUUUGUUCCUUCUGCUAAUUAACUGAGUUCCCAUUUCACUUGCUCUCUCCUUUGCUGUACAGAACCUAAAUAAGUUGUUAAAUCAAUCCAUUCAACAACUACCUUUUGUUUGUUUGUUUUACUUGCUGUAUUUUUAAGUAGGGUCUCAUCUUGUACUCCAGGGUGCCUGAGACUCAUCAAACAACCCAAGCUGGCAUUUAAUUCAUGGAAAUCUUUCUGCCUCAGUCUUCAAAGUGUUCAUAUUACAAGCAUGAGUCAUCACAGCUGGUAAAUAAUAUCACUAUUACACAUGUUCUAUGGAGCACCACUACAUCUUACUGUGAUCUUCAGUGUGGAUGAUCUUGAAAUUCAGAAGUGUCAGCUUGCAGCAUGGUUUGAAAAUAUCUGUCCAGUUAUGAAAUUUAUGGGCCAGGAAUUUGUCAACGAAACAUGGAAAUAAUCUCAUUUGCUACCAAAGAAAGAGAGAAAGAAAGAAGAAAGAAAGAAAGAAAGAUGUAGUCUCCCCUCCCCCAGCCUGAAACCUGCUUGCUCAGGGGUGGAGCUUCCUGCUCAUUCAUUCUGCCACGCCCACUACUGGAAUCUGCUGCUUUGCUGUUCCGGAGCCACACACGUGCUCACCUUUCUACUGGACCCGAGAGUAUUCGUUGGGAAUCGUGUCCCUUCCCCCUUCCUUCAUAACUAGUGUCACAACAAUAAAAUUUGAGCUUUGAUCA
rnacentral:lncRNA from 1 species